GACGAACGCUGGCGGCGUGCUUAACACAUGCAAGUCGAACGGAAAGGCCCUGCUUUUGUGGGGUGCUCGAGUGGCGAACGGGUGAGUAACACGUGAGUAACCUGCACUUGACUUUGGGAUAACUUCAGGAAACUGGGGCUAAUACCGGAUAGGAGCUCCUGCUGCAUGGUGGGGGUUGGAAAGUUUCGGCGGUUGGGGAUGGACUCGCGGCUUAUCAGCUUGUUGGUGGGGUAGUGGCUUACCAAGGCUUUGACGGGUAGCCGGCCUGAGAGGGUGGCCGGCCACAUUGGGACUGAGAUACGGCCCAGACUCCUACGGGAGGCAGCAGUGGGGAAUAUUGCACAAUGGGCGGAAGCCUGAUGCAGCAACGCCGCGUGCGGGAUGACGGCCUUCGGGUUGUAAACCGCUUUCGCCUGUGACGAAGCGUGAGUGACGGUAAUGGGUAAAGAAGCACCGGCUAACUACGUGCCAGCAGCCGCGGUGAUACGUAGGGUGCGAGCGUUGUCCGGAUUUAUUGGGCGUAAAGGGCUCGUAGGUGGUUGAUCGCGUCGGAAGUGUAAUCUUGGGGCUUAACCCUGAGCGUGCUUUCGAUACGGGUUGACUUGAGGAAGGUAGGGGAGAAUGGAAUUCCUGGUGGAGCGGUGGAAUGCGCAGAUAUCAGGAGGAACACCAGUGGCGAAGGCGGUUCUCUGGGCCUUUCCUGACGCUGAGGAGCGAAAGCGUGGGGAGCGAACAGGCUUAGAUACCCUGGUAGUCCACGCUGUAAACGGUGGGUACUAGGUGUGGGGUCCAUUCCACGGGUUCCGUGCCGUAGCUAACGCUUUAAGUACCCCGCCUGGGGAGUACGGCCGCAAGGCUAAAACUCAAAGGAAUUGACGGGGCCCCGCACAAGCGGCGGAGCAUGCGGAUUAAUUCGAUGCAACGCGUAGAACCUUACCUGGGUUUGACAUGGAUCGGGAGCGCUCAGAGAUGGGUGUGCCUCUUUUGGGGUCGGUUCACAGGUGGUGCAUGGCUGUCGUCAGCUCGUGUCGUGAGAUGUUGGGUUAAGUCCCGCAACGAGCGCAACCCUUGUUCACUGUUGCCAGCACGUUAUGGUGGGGACUCAGUGGAGACCGCCGGGGUCAACUCGGAGGAAGGUGGGGAUGACGUCAAGUCAUCAUGCCCCUUAUGUCCAGGGCUUCACGCAUGCUACAAUGGCUGGUACAGAGAGUGGCGAGCCUGUGAGGGUGAGCGAAUCUCGGAAAGCCGGUCUCAGUUCGGAUUGGGGUCUGUAACUCGACCUCAUGAAGUCGGAGUCGCUAGUAAUCGCAGAUCAGCAACGCUGCGGUGAAUACGUUCCCGGG
rnacentral:rRNA from 1 species